AAUCAGGAAUAAAAGAAUAGGUUGCACCUUGAGUUCUGCAUGCAGUUUUGGGCCCCUUAUUUUAAAAAGGACAUUGAGGUGCUGGAGCCUGUCCAGUGAAGGGCACCAAGGCCUGUGAGAGGUUUAGAAAACUUGUCUUAUUAGGAGUGGCUGAGGGAGUGGGGGCUGUUUGGUCUCCAGGAGCUCAGGAGGGACCUCCUUGCUGUGUACAGCUCCCUGGCAGGAGGCUGUAAUGAGAUGGGGCCGGUCUCUUCUGCAGUGUCUGCGGUGAGAGGACCAGAGGAAAUGGCUUUAAACUGAGGUGGGACAUUCAGAUUAAACAUUAGAAACGUAUUUUUCCCUGUUCCGGAGGUCAGGCAUCGGAGAGGCUCCAGGGAGGUGGUGGGGUCCCCACCCUGGAGAUGCUCUACAGGCAUCUAGACCUGGGGCUGGGUGAAGAUGUGGUUUAGUGGCUUAGCGGUACAGUGGCAGGGGGUGAUGGUUGCACCGGAUGAUCUGAAAGGUCCGUUCCAACCUCGGCGACUCUACGACUGUAACAACGCUAAAAAUCGCCGUGAACAAUAAAAGGGGGAAAUGAGGAAAACGUGAGGGGGGCCCGGCGGCGCCCCCGGUCCUNGGGCCUUGGGCGCACGGAGCGGCCGGAGGUGCGGAGCCCGCACUGCCUUCGGCGGCCUCGCGGGGUCCGGCUCCGAGGCCUCUUCCUACAAUUGUUGUUCCUGUUGGGAGCCCCGAUAGGCCUCCGCAGCUGUGGCUGUGCGGGAGGGCUGCUCAGAGCCUGCUUGCUUUGCGGACUGCCCCACAGACAGCUAACGCAGCGUGAUCUCUCUGUUCUGUAUGAAAAGAAAAGUUUUGACAUUGUUUUUUCUUUUUCCCUGCAAAUCCUUGGACUGCUACCGGCACAGCGACUAGGAUGUAUCCGGUUUUGGUGUUCUUUAAAUUUUUUGCAUUUUAAUUUCUGGAGAGAAGUUGGCAGCUUCCCUCUACCUGGAGGAUGAGGAGAAGCCGGUGUGCCCUUCCCUCCUGACUGCCUCAGCCCUCUCCUCCUCCGUUCCUUGCACUGAGUCUGGCUCACAACUCUGGAUGCCUUGUACUGGUUUGUUUUAAGAACCUUUCAGAAUUUUUAUUUGUUGUCUCUCAUUUUUGUUGGCUUUGUCUUCUACCAUUUUGGUCGGUUCAGUCAGCUGGGCACUGGGACAAAUAUCAGGCUUCUCAAAAUAACUGAUGGAAAGUGACCUUGCCCCUCCAGCCCUGCUGUUGGUUCCGCUCCAGCCUUACCAUGAAGUGCUCUUCUGGAGACACCAGGAGCUGAUUGAGAACUACUUGCUGCUCAAAGGGAUGUUUUUUCUACAUUCCCCAUACUACUCAUAGUUUAUUUGCCUUUUAGGUGUUAGUUUACUGGUAGCUUGGUGAGUGGCUCAGCUCAUGGAUGGGUCAGCUGGUCCUGGCAUAAAACAGGGGGAAGGGCUGUGGUGAUGCUGGGAGCAGAGGGGGAAUGGGACCUCCCCAUCAGCAGUGGCCAGCUCUGGGGUUGGCUCAUCUGCCCUGGGGAAUCUUACUGAUAAUUAUUUGGCCUUACUAAAAUCAUGUUGGUUUUGUUUGAUCUGCAGCAGUUUUCUUAUGUGCACAUUAAAUGGAUGUUACAUAUGCUUUCUCACUAAGUUGGGAUUCUUUUAACAUGUGCGGUUGCAGCCAGGAAAUAGCUGAAGGUUUUUUUUUCCUCCUCUUUUCCUCAUUAGGAGCUUGCAAAAGCAGUCACCUUAAAUUCUUGGUGUGUACAAACAGGGCAGCAAGAUGCAGCUGAGGGCUUAAUGUAGUGCAAUGAAAUGGUGAGGGCCAUAAUAGAAUAAGGAUUGAGUUCAUGGCUCCUGUUUGUUUCACAAAAUUGGAAAUGUAGGGGUUUGUACAUUGGUUUGCAUGGGGAUAGGUGAUGCUUUGCUCUCUGGAGCUGGAAUAGUGUGAAUACCUAAAUUGUGCUUUAUUUAUGGAUUAUACUUC
ensembl:lncRNA